rnacentral:rRNA from 1 species
ACCUACGGGGGGCAGCAGUGGGGGAUAUUGCACAAUGGGGGGAACCCUGAUCCAGCGACGCCGCGUGAGUGAAGAAGUAUUUCGGUAUGUAAAGCUCUAUCAGCAGGGAAGAGAAUGACGGUACCUGACUAAGAAGCCCCGGCUAACUACGUGCCAGCAGCCGCGGUAAUACGUAGGGGGCAAGCGUUAUCCGGAUUUACUGGGUGUAAAGGGAGCGUAGACGGUGCAGCAAGUCUGAUGUGAAAGGUCGGGGCCCAACCCCGGGACUGCAUUGGAAACUGUUG